rnacentral:rRNA from 1 species
UACAGAGGUCUCAAGCGUUGUUCGGAUUCAUUGGGCGUAAAAGGGUGUGUAGGUGGCGCGCUAAGUCGGGUGUGAAAUUUCGGGAGCUUAACUCCGAAACUGCAUUCGAUACUGGCGUGCUUGAGGACUGGAGAGGAGACUGGAAUUCAUGGUGUAGCAGUGAAAUGCGUAGAGAUCAUGAGGAAGACCAGUGGCGAAGGCGGGUCUCUGGACAGUUCCUGACACUGAGACACGAAGGCCAGGGGAGCAAACGGG